GGUGUGUUGGCAGAAUAGUGCAAUUGACUUAGGAUCAAUUUAUGGAACUCAAAUCCACACACUA
rnacentral:tRNA from 1 species